GCUAUUGUUUCUCAGCCUUAAAAAAUAAAAUAUCAUGGUCAUAAACAUGCCAUGGAAAGUUCUCAAGGAAAACCAGUCUGGUCUCUUGAUGGCAGGGCAGAGUAUCAGGGAGGAGAACUAAAAGCUCAGUUAUUUAAUUAAAACUCAGCAUAGGCAUUUGCUUAAGGACCGAGUUUCAAAGCAAAACUAGCAUGCUGCUCCAUGUACUCCAACCUCAGUCAUGCUGUAAGGAUACCCAUGCCAAUUUUAAACUGCCUUAAUUCAAGUGACAAGUCUCAACAGAGGCUCAUGAGCCCUGAAAUACAGGCCUACUGUCAGGCCCUGCUAACGCUGGGCAGGCACUGAUGCACAAGCAGUGGUGCAAAUGUGAAGCUGUUUGGUCAAAUUAGUACUGAGACUGGAAUAUGCAGAAAAAAUACAACCUGACAGUAUGUGAAUUUUAUUGGAAAAAACUCAGCAAGAUUAUUCUUGUUCUCCUUGCUGUUCACUAUGAGUAAGGCUGUGUACAACCAAACUGGUAACGUCACAGGAGAAAUGUAGCUUAAUGAUUUCUGAGAAUCUUAGACCCCAGCCUAGGAAUCAAAUUUAACCCUUGUGCUAAGCAAUGCCUAUUUUCGAAUUUCAGUGGAAUUACAUUUGUUUAUGUUUAGAGCUGAAUGUAAUCCACUACUGUUUGUGCCCUUGGAAAGGGAUGUCCUAUGUUUACUUCUGAAGCUCCAUGGUUUAAGCAGGAUCUUUCAACAAGUUCUCAGCCAAGAUUGUGGACAAAACCUGCAUACAUUAUGUUACUGACCUAUUGCUAAAACCCACAGAAACCUUAGUCAUUUUGUUGCUAAUCUCUCUUACUUUAGAGGAAGCUGGGGAGGUUAUAGCUGGGUACACCUCUGCAAUUACACAGACGCUGAUGGUUGUUUCAUCUCCCAGAAUUACAGAGAUGGCCACUGAAGAUCAUUUACAAACUCAGGACUCUUAUGUGCUUCAUGUGAUGGGAGAAGUCUACAUUUGCAAACAGAACUGGCUGUCAACCCUGGAGCUUACACCCACUGCUGGCAACUGAAUAUUCAAAAAGGUAGACCAAAGAAACCUCUAGUGAGCAUCUAAAUAAACGAAUCUGUAAGGCAACA
rnacentral:lncRNA from 1 species